rnacentral:misc_RNA from 1 species
GCAAACUUGGUCAUUUAGAGGAAGUAAAAGUCGUAACAAGGUUUCCGUAGGUGAACCUGCGGAAGGAUCAUUACCGAACCGUCGACAGGAGUUGUCGCUGGUCCCCCCCAUGGGGGGGACAUGUGCACACCCUGUCCACACAUCCACUCACACCUGUGCACCCUCUGUAGUUCUGUGGCCUGGGGGGCUCUGUCCUCCUGCUGUGGUUCUAUGUAUUUACACACACACCGUAAUGAAGUCUUAUGUGAUGUAGCUCGCGUUUAACGCAAUAAAUACAACUUUCAGCAACGGAUCUCUUGGCUCUCGCAUCGAUGAAGAACGCAGC